CCCUUAGAUGUUCUGGGCCGCACGCGCGCUACACUGAUGCAUUCAACGAGUUUCUUCCUGGUCCGAGAGGAAUGGGUAACCUUUUGAAAGUGCAUCGUGAUAGGGAUAGACUAUUGCAAUUAUUGGUCUUCAACGAGGAAUUCCUAGUAGACGUAGUUCAUCAGACUGCAUCGAUUACGUCCCUGCCCUUUGUACACACCGCCCGUCGCUACUACCGAUCGGAUGGUUUAGUGAGACCCUCGGACUGGUCCCGCUGUCGGACAGGCAACUGUUUGCAGCGCGUGCGCCGGGAAGAAGGUCGAACUUGACUAUCUAGAGGAAGUAAAAGUCGUAACA
rnacentral:rRNA from 1 species